UUUCAACGUCGCGACUGGCGUCUGGGUGGGUCACCACCGGGGAGCGGCCUCAUAUGGAAUCGACCGCGCGCCUGGGCCGAUGAG
rnacentral:ncRNA from 1 species